GCUUAUGUUUUCUGUAUCUUGACAGGUUCAGCUACACAAUAAGGUGGAGCAGGAAGUUGUGGAUGUGUGCCUUGGCUUGCAGCAUCUCCAUGGCUCUGUUCAUUCAGUACAGAGUCCAGACCAUAGGUGUCCUGCCUCCCUCAAGAUUCAUCAGGAAGGCUUUACUGCAUACCCAGAGGAGGAUGAAUCCUGUUGCAGAGUAUUAUCUCUGGAGCAGCCCAGCAGAUACUGCAGCAUGGAGCACAGCAGCAUCAGCCUUCACAACCCUCUGCACAACAAUCAGCCGAGACUUUCUCCACUGGUUUGUGGAAUCAGCCUGGUCAGUGGUACCAAUGAGGUCCAGUCUGUCUCUGACAAACAGAGCUCCUUCCCAAACCCACAUCAAAAACUCAACCAGAUGUUUCAUGAAGUACCAAUAAAUCACCACGGUAAGAAAGCUAUUUUGUAUUACCUUCAUUAAUGUUAAAAAA
rnacentral:lncRNA from 1 species